GGGGAUUUGGCUCAGUGGUAGAGCAUUUGCCUAGCAACCACAAGGCCCUGGGUUCGGUCCCCAGCUCCG
rfam:Rattus norvegicus chromosome 15, whole genome shotgun sequence.